AGAGUUUGAUCCUGGCUCAGGACGAGCGCUGGCGGCGUGCCUAACACAUGCAAGUCGAACGAGAAUCUACUUAUGAAAUUUUCGGAUGGAUUAGGUAGAGGAAAGUGGCGAACGGGUGAGUAACGCGUGAGCAAUCUGCCUUGUACUGGGGGAUAACGUCGGGAAACCGGCGCUAAUACCGCAUAAUACUAUGAGAUCGCAUGGUCAUAUAGUCAAAACUCCGGUAGUACAAGAUGAGCUCGCGUCCAAUUAGCUAGUUGGUGGGGUAAUGGCCCACCAAGGCGACGAUUGGUAGCCGAACUGAGAGGUUGAUCGGCCACAUUGGGACUGAGACACGGCCCAGACUCCUACGGGAGGCAGCAGUGGGGAAUAUUGCGCAAUGGAGGGAACUCUGACGCAGCAACGCCGCGUGAAGGAUGAAGGUUUUCGGAUUGUAAACUUCUUUGAUCGGGGACGAAAUUGACGGUACCCGAGGAACAAGCCACGGCUAACUACGUGCCAGCAGCCGCGGUAAUACGUAGGUGGCAAGCGUUGUCCGGAAUUACUGGGUGUAAAGGGCGUGUAGGCGGGAAGGCAGGUCAGAUGUGAAAGCCCAUGGCUUAACUGUGGAAUUGCAUCUGAAACUGUUUUUCUUGAGUGCUGGAGAGGAAAGUGGAAUUCCUAGUGUAGCGGUGAAAUGCGUAGAGAUUAGGAGGAACACCAGUGGCGAAGGCGGCUUUCUGGACAGUAACUGACGCUGAGGCGCGAAGCGUGGGG
rnacentral:rRNA from 1 species